AGAGUUUGAUCAUGGCUCAGAUUGAACGCUGGCGGCAGGCCAAACACAUGCAAGUCGAGCGGUAGCACAAGAGAGCUUGCUCUCUGGGUGACGAGCGGCGGACGGGUGAGUAAUGUCUGGGAAACUGCCUGAUGGAGGGGGAUAACUACUGGAAACGGUAGCUAAUACCGCAUAACGUCUUCGGACCAAAGUGGGGGACCUUCGGGCCUCACGCCAUCAGAUGUGCCCAGAUGGGAUUAGCUAGUAGGCGGGGUAAUGGCUCACCUAGGCGACGAUCCCUAGCUGGUCUGAGAGGAUGACCAGCCACACUGGAACUGAGACACGGUCCAGACUCCUACGGGAGGCAGCAGUGGGGAAUAUUGCACAAUGGGCGCAAGCCUGAUGCAGCCAUGCCGCGUGUGUGAAAAAGGCCUUCGGGUUGUAAAGCACUUUCAGCGAGGAGGAAGGGUAGUGUGUUAAUAGCACAUUGCAUUGACGUUACUCGCAGAAGAAGCACCGGCUAACUCCGUGCCAGCAGCCGCGGUGAUACGGAGGGUGCAAGCGUUAAUCGGAAUUACUGGGCGUAAAGCGCACGCAGGCGGUUUGUUAAGUCAGAUGUGAAAUCCCCGCGCUUAACGUGGGAACUGCAUUUGAAACUGGCAAGCUAGAGUCUUGUAGAGGGGGGUAGAAUUCCAGGUGUAGCGGUGAAAUGCGUAGAGAUCUGGAGGAAUACCGGUGGCGAAGGCGGCCCCCUGGACAAAGACUGACGCUCAGGUGCGAAAGCGUGGGGAGCAAACAGGAUUAGAUACCCCGGUAGUCC
rnacentral:rRNA from 1 species